GAAAUUGAAAAAACCUUAUGUACCCAGAACAAGCACCAGCACAAGUGCACAACACACCACUUCUCUCUCCUCUCACCGGGAAAAAUGAAAUCCCUAAUCCUAGAGACUUUCCAGUCUCUACUCUCACCUCUCCUCUCCAGAUUACUCUUGCCCUCUCCUCUCCUCGAUCCUACCAGCGGCGCGGCGGCACCACAGGAUGAGGCGAUGCGACGGAGGGGCUCGGUUGGCGGCGGCACCACAUGGAGGUGAGGUGACGGAGGGCCACUAGUCGAUUGGUUGGCGGUGGUGAUGUCAAGUGCCACUGGAUCCGGCCGCCAUGGGCUCGGUGGUCGCCAGAUCUGGCCGCCCUGAGCUCGGGGGCAGCCGGAUCCGGCCGCCACAAGCUCGGGUACGGCGGACCUGCGCGGGGAGUAGCUGCGACGGUGGGCCUCCCACCGCAAGCUGGUGGGUUUUUGAGCUGGCACGACGAGGUCAGAAAUUGUCUUUGGUUUGUGAACUUGUGAUGAUUAGUGAUUACACAAUACGCGCAUCACAUAAACCUAUCAGGUUUUUUUCCAGUCACUAACUCCCCAUUGUUGUUUACUGCACAUCUAUAAGGUAUGCCUUUUCCUUUGUUGGUGUCCAGGUUCCCACAACUGCACAUGCAUGAUGCGCAGAUCAAACUGAACGGAAUGGAAUGACGUUGCAAUGUGCAUAGGUGAGCGGUGAGCCUGCUGCUCAAUCUGUAGUUUAGAAGAAGCAAAAUGGAAGAUGAUUUUACAUCUGGAUUGUUUAGUGUAGUCUAGAUGAACAUCCCAAUUUGUUGGAUGUAAAGCAAGCUACAUUGCAGUGGACAAAGAACCAUUUCUUAGGUUCAGGUUUGCACUUUGCAUAAAUCCCGGGCUGUUCUUGACAUCAAGUAAACAUGAUAGUUGAAUUCUGAAGGCAUGCAUCCCAACUUAUGUUCCCAUGUAAACGAAUACGGAAUUAUGUUUCAUGCUUCCCAACUUAUAAUGGACUUUUCCCCUAUAUUCACAGGUGCAAGUAAAGCUAUCAUGGGCUAUGUCAAAUUGAUGUGUGAUAACUGGUGAAACCUUCGGCUUCCACUCUCCCUAUACUACAUUGCUCCUUUGUCCGUGCAAUGUGUAAAAUUAAAAUGCGACUAAGAAAUAAGAGCACAUGUACGGGCAAUCACUCUGUUGUUAAUGAUCAGUACAGUUGUAGGGAGUAGGGUCAUUCUCCAUGUGUGCUAUAGCUUUAGGGAGUAUGUGUGUGAAUUUCAAAUAAAAAUCAGUCAUCACCAUUUCGUCUUGUUUGUCUUUGCUUGUGAUGGUAUAUGUAUGACCAAUUUUCCUGUUUAUUGGUUCUUGCAGGUGUACUAUCAUCAUGCUAGUGACUGUCUGACAGACCUAUUCCCCAGUUAGCAGUUUUCCUGACUGGGGUUUGCUCUAUGUAGGCUUGCAAUGUGCAUGCUCUCGAAGUACUGGAAGUCUUCAGUUCCUUUUCUGAAGGACACCAGCGACAUCAGUGAACAAGCAGUGGCAUCCUCACUAAUUCUUCCAUGCUGAUCAGCAAAUCCAAGGUGCUAAUAUGAUAUUAUAUUUUUCUAUCCAUCUUUAUAGGAAACAAAUUGUUGUCCUAAUAGUUUAUUGCAACCACAUGCAUGGGACUGUUUGUUAAUUAGUGUAGUCAAAUUACUUUACAAUGGACUUUAAAUGUUCAGUCUACUCUAAGUCGAUAGCUAUAGCGAUUAAGAAAUACUUGACAUGAUGUGGUAGCUCAUUGGUAUAUUUAUUUGUUUGCUUUUGCCAUGAUUUUUGAUUUGUACAUUGCAGGUUAUUAUACUUUCAUUUCUAUUGAUCUGUUACACACCAUGAUGUGGACUGAAUAUUUUGUUUGUGAACUAUAUUGGUAGGCACUACUAUGCCUUGGAUCUUUGUUGUUACCUGUACAUGUUUUCAGACAGAUAGGCAUCAGUUCCAGUUACAUGCACCUUUUUAUUUCUUCAUACCUUGUGCUGGCCAUAUGGUCCAUAUGAAGCAUUAAGUGUUAUUUGAUUAUAAGUUAUUGUAAAGGUCUUUAAUUUGUGCCUUCUAGACUUCUGUUGCCUUCUUGCAUGCUAGUAUCUGGGUUGAGCACUCAUAGUCAUGGAGUGGAUCAAUGAGCCACUGCAUAUUGAAUCCGUAACAUCCUAGUUGAUACGAAUGAUGUUGAUAUUUAUGUAACUUUGAAUGCUGUCCAGGAAAAAUAAACAUUGGAAUAUUUAGUUAAGACUUGAGUUGUCAACUGCUUCCAAUCAGGGGCGACGCCAAGUUAAGCUAGCCGAGUGCACAGGCACCAGGGAAAAAUCUAAUUUUUAGUUAUUAGGAUCUAAUCUCCACCUUUUGUGCACUCCCUAGAAAAAAAUAUGUGCACCACCUUCAGCUGCCUUAGAAGGCUGCAGGCAGCCCAUGAAGGCCCAAUUUCAAAUAUUAAAUCAUCUAAUUAGCACUUUUUGACAGCUUAUUAUCGUCUCAUCAAGGACUCAGCUUAAUUAUGUUAUUUGCUCAUUGCUAUGUAGACAUGUACUACCAGAUUUUUCAUUUUGGUAAGCAUUUUUUGUCACUGUAUAUGUUACAUUUACAUUUAUAUUACAUGCAUAAAUGAAGUGUGCACUCGGGUCCUCCGUGCUCUAGAUUCGCCCCUGCUUCCAAUUGUCUAGACUUUGGCAGAAAAGGUGGUCAUGGUCUUGAGAAAGGCCAGGCUUUGUUCUGAACUUAGAGAUGAGUGAGCUGCAAACCAGUUUUUUUUCCUGAGAUAGUGUUACAUGCUUGUAUCAAUAUUUGAAGUGUAGAGAUUGAGCCAGAGUCAGAAUUCUAUAUAGCUAGUUUAGGUUUUCUGAACUUUGAUGCUUGAAACGUGCUGUAUAUUGCUCCAUUGACAAUGUAUGGCUGUGAAUUAAUUGAAGCUCUCCUGGGAAUUGUUGCAUGUGUGAUUAA